rnacentral:lncRNA from 1 species
CUCUUCGCCCGGAAGUGGCAACAAGACUGCAACAUCCCCUCACGCCUAGUCUGUAAAGAACUUUGUUUAACCCGGAGGCGGGGCCAGCCAGCUCCGCCCCUCCAGCUGGACGCGGGAGCGAGGUUGAGGUUCAUACCCCUGGGUUCUCUCCAGGCCUGAGGCGGAGAGCCAGCCGCCUGCCUACCUCUGGGCUUUGAACCCCGGGUCUGGUGACUUCGCUUAAAGACCUCGGGCCGAAGGCCCGCCAGGCUCAACCUCGGUUCACAGGACCCCCGACUUGUGUCAAGGAAGAGCAAGACUGAAAAUGUUUACCAGAUUUAUAAUCGAGGAGGUCCUGGAUGACCUUGGCAAAAGCAACCCCAAUGGCAUGGGAAUGAAUGUUUACCAAGAUGAUGCCAGUAUAGCUAGUGAGAUGCAGCACCCCAUCCUCAGCCCCCUCGCCUCUGGAAGAGACACCAGACUGCAAAGGGCACCGCGUACAGAAGCUAACGGAACUUGAAUGACAAGACAAAAAGAGCAGAAUCAGUUAGUGUGACACAACAUUCUAACAUGCCUGAUUCUUACAUCAAAUAUGGUAACUUUGGGGUUGGUAGGGGGAGACAAACAAGGAGAAUCCACUUGGGAACAAUUUGAUGAAGUUUGCAAAUCAGCACUUUACCCCCAAAUUAACAACAGCUUGUAUGGAAAAAAAAAUGCUCUUUUAAAAGUAUAUGGUUUGGACAGGUA